rnacentral:lncRNA from 1 species
GCAAGACACGUGCAUUGAAGAAAUAGCUGCAUGAUAUUUAUGGAUGUGACCAACUGCUUUUCUGAUUGGAAUUAGAACCCUUUCCAAAGGAAGGAACUCAUUACUGGCACUGAAAACCAAGCCAAGAACGUGUGACCAGAUGAUCAUAGAAGAAGAGGAAAGAGACUAGACUUCCCUGAAUGGCUAGCAUGUAUAAGGGUUGUGCUAUGAAGUUCAGAUAUGCAUCAGGCCCUUCAGAAAAUUUCCAAACAUUUCCUUUUACAGGACCGCACCAGCAAAGGAAGGUCACCUCGCCAAUAAUUGAGCCUUCAUCCAGUAGCUGAUGGAAGCAGAAGCAGACACCCACAGCUAAACACUGAGCUGAACUCUGGAAUCCAGUUGUAGAGAGAGAUGAGUGAUGAGCAAAGGGGUCAAGACCAGACUGAAGAAGCCCAUAGAAACAGCUGACCUGAAGAAGGGGUUGAUCAUGGACACCAGACUGAUAGCUUGGAAACCAG